UACGUAGGCGGAAAAUUAAGUCAGUGGUGAAAUCCUGCAGCUUAACUGUAGAACUGUCAUUGAUACUGGUUUUCUUGAAUAUAGUUGAGGUAGGCGGAAUGUGUAAUGUAGCGGUGAAAUGCUUAGAUAUUACACAGAACACCGAUUGCGAAGGCAGCUUACUAAGCUAUGAUUGACGCUGAGGUACGAAGGCGUGGGGAGCGAACAGGAUUAGAUACCCUGGUAGUCC
rnacentral:rRNA from 1 species